rnacentral:ribozyme from 14 species
GAGAAGGAAACCAGUCAAUACAUAUGAAAGACACCAAAACAGUUCAACUUGGUUUUUUUUUUUUUCUUUGUUCCUUUCUUUUU